CUACGGGAUGCAGCAGGCGCGAAACCUUUACACUGUACGGAAGUGCGAUAAGGGAACUCCCAGUGCUUAUGCAUUGCAUGGGCUUUUGCCAAGUGUAAAUAACUUGGCGAAUAAGUGGUGGGUAAGACGGGUGCCAGCCGCCGCGGUAACACCUGCGCCACGAGUGGCAAUCAUGUUUAUUGGGCCUAAAGCGUUCGUAGCCGGAUGAGCAAGUCUUGGGUGAAAUCGUUGCGCUUAACAAAACGAAUUGCUUGAGAUACUACUUGUCUUGGGACCGGGAGGCGUCAAGGGUAUUCCUGAGGGAGCGGUAAAAUGUUGUAAUCUCAGGAGGACCACCUGUGGCGAAGGCGCUUGACGAGAACGGGUCCGACGGUGAGGAACGAAAGCUAGGGGAGCAAAACGGAUUAGAUACCCGAGUAGUC
rnacentral:rRNA from 1 species